UAUCCGCCGUCUCAUCAAAAUUUGAAAGAGGUUUUUUUGUUGUAUCAAAAAACAUACUAUUUGAAACUAUUCAGUUGUCAAUGUUGAAAGAAAAAAUAUCGUAAAAAUGCCAGUGGAAGAAAUUCGCGGAAGCCAAUAAACUACCCACAACUGUGCUAGCAACCUUAGCAACAGUACUGUGGUCUGAAAGAAGAUUUAUCCUACAUCAUAUGCAAAAAAGGAGUAGAUACACUUUUUGUUUCUAAGAAAAGAUGGAAUAUUAAGAGUGGCGCUUUGAAUAAUCAAAACUAGUUUCAGUGAUUUACUAUGGUCUUCCAUAAGUCAAUUUGAAUUCAUCAUCAUUCUCCUGCCCUUCUCCCAGUCACCUGGAGUCGGCGCAACAUGUUUUCUCCUUCCAUACUCCUCUAUCAUAUAUCAUUUCUUAGCUAUCUCCCCUCUUACAUAUAUCAUCUUUCGCGCAAUCUAUCCAUUUUUUAGGUCAACCUCUUACUCUAAAGUCGCAAGCCUUCAUAGUUAAAACUAUCUCAACAACGACGAUGACAAUGAGGUCAUUUUUCAUAAGUCGAUUUGAAUUAUUAGUUUACAACUUUUUUUUUAAUUAUUAUUUAUUUAGUUAUAAAAUGUAUAAAUUAGCGGAAUUAGUAGAAUAAUGGGCAGACUUUCAGGCAACACGUGUAAGUGCAACUAUUCUGCAAAUUUCUAUCACUUCCCUCAUGCGUUUACUAUAUAUUUAUGAUUCUGAUACGCACUGCAUACUACACCGGAGACUUUUAUCUCGUGUUUAAAGUUUUUAUAUUCUGGUCUAUAGACCCAGGCAAGUACUUAACAUCGGAUAUCCUUUCGUCAAUCCGAUUAACCAUUUUCAGAAUCAAUUAAAAAUUCUAUUUCACAAGUAAAUUGUUAUUACUAACUCGCAUCAUAAUGAUUCAAUAGGAAUCAAUGAACUUAAUACCUACUUUUCAAUGGCUCCAACCAAAGUAAUUUUUUCUUGCUUCACUCUUCACUCAGAUUGAUCGUGGAGCACUUAAUAAAAUAAUUCCAUACUUUUUACUGUCACGAAAGUAGGACAAAGUACUGCGUGCAGAGCAAUAAAAAGUGUAUGAAUAAAAA